UUAGUGGAUGUCUAGGCUCGCACAUCGAUGAUGAACGCUGCGAACUGCGAUACGUAAUGCGAAUUGCAGGAUUCAGUGAGUCAUCGAAAUUUUGAACGCAUAUUGCACUUCCGGGUUAGUCCUGGAAGUAUGCCUGUAUCAGUGUC
rnacentral:rRNA from 1 species